UUGACGGAUGCGGCGCAAAAAUACACUGGUUGCUUCUCUCUGGAGCGGAGCGGGAGACACUUCUGGGACAUUCUGGUCUGAGCACAGACUAGAAUGACUUUGAUCCACUCCGGCAGCCGCGAUGCAGACAGACUCAAAAUGUCAGAUUCCCAGCGAAUUGAGACCAGGAACAAACUCAGUAAUUAUCACCAAUCACACAAAGCAUUCAGGUUAUGCUGGUCCUGUGGGAGGAGGCUUUAUUGAGACAGUUGAUCAGCUGGGUCCCUGCAGAAGCCUUUUGUUGAAGUUCAUGCAGUUCCAAACAUUUCCAAGGAUUUGGUGAUUUUUAAUCUUUAUUGCACCACCUCCCCUCCUGGAUAAAUCCUCUCCAUUUGAAAAAUGACGUCUCCAUCACAGUAAUGAAGCCUUUAGUGUAAUUGUGUUGAUAGGAUACCAGUUUGUGGAUCCAGGUUAGGAUUACUGUGACAAAGUGAUGUUCCAUCUGAUGUUAACAUUAUGUUCAAUGAUGGCAUGAAACAUUUUACCUUUUGAAGCUCUGUUUGUGGAGGAAUCCUGUGUCAAAAUGCUUUAAUAUG